UACAGAGGGUGCAAGCGUUAAUCGGAUUUACUGGGCGUAAAGCGUGCGUAGGCGGUUCAUUAAGUCGGUUGUGAAAUCCCUGGGCUUAACCUGGGAACUGCAGUCGAUACUGGUGGACUAGAGUACGGUAGAGGGUGGCGGAACUCCGGGUGUAGCGGUGAAAUGCGUAGAUAUCCGGAAGAACACCGAUGGCGAAGGCAACCACCUGGGCCUGUACUGACGCUGAGGUACGAAAGCGUGGGGAGCAAACGGGGA
rnacentral:rRNA from 1 species